rnacentral:rRNA from 1 species
GCUUACGACCACACCGGCCUGAGUACGCCUGAUCUCGGAAGCUAAGCAGGGUCGGCCUGGUUAGUACUUGGAUGGGAGACCGCCUGGGAAUACCAGGUGCUGUAAGCU